GGCUCCCGCUGGUUGCUAGGUAACGUCUGUUUGGUACAAUCUGGUUCACAUCAUAAUGGUUCUUUUGCCAACAGGAGCUGGUAAUCAGGAUGGCAGUGAGGCAGGCACUUGCUUGCAGAAGAACAGGCCUAGUUUUUUAAGAAGCCACAAAAGUGUCUUUGGAUGAUUAGGAUCUAAGGGGCCAACAGCUUUGCAAUAACAGCAUAAAUAUUGUGGGCUGGAUGGACAGGCACCAAAUGGGGACAUUCCAUCCUGCUGUGUGAUGAGAAAGCUGCCACUUUUGAGGCCUUCCAAAACAAAUCAACACUCCAUAUGCCAGAAGGAAAAGCCCAGGAAAGACCUAUUCCAACUGGAGAUGGUGAAUGUCAUUUCUUCAAGAAGCUGAGAUCCAGCUGGUACUGCCAGGUGGAGAGUGAGUUGGGUAGCUGACCUCGGGCAUGGCAGCCUUGGUUUUUGGCCACUUCAUGGGGUGACCUGUUGAGCAAACAGCAGUGGAAUUCUGCAGCUGUGGACCAAGAUGAAUACGAAGGGAGAAUGAAACAAAACUGCUCCGCUUAGGGAACUUGGAAAGGAAAUUGAAAAGGCAAGGCACAGGCUGGAAGAAAAUAUUUGAAAAAGAUUUAUGUGAACUUCUUUCUGGAUUAUACAAAAUAUUUUUAGAUAUUCUUACAACUCUAAAAUAAGAUAACUCCUUAAAAAUCUAAAUUCUACCAAAGGAGAGAUAAAGAUGACGAAUACAUUCAAAGAUGCUGAAAAUCACUUAUUUAUUAUUAGGAAGUUACAAGCUAAAGCAUAAUGAGAUACCACUACAACCUACUAAACUGACUAAAAUUAAUCAGACUAACCAGGUGUUGGCAAGAAACAGGGACACUGAGACUCUCACACUGCUGGAAGGAAUGUAAAAUGCUAAAACUUCUUUGGAAAUGAGUUCAGUAACUUUUUAAACAGUUGAAAAUAGACCUAUCAUGCAAACCAGCAAUCCCACUUCCAGGUAUUUAUACAAGGAAAAUGACAACAUAUGCCCACAUAAAGACUUGUGCACAAAUGACCGUAGCAGCUUUGUGAUAAUUGCUAAAAACUAGAAACUUGUCAAGUGUCCAACAGCUAAGGAAAUAGAGACAAACUACAUAAGUUGCUGAAAAAUCACAGCAAAUAAUUAGCUGAGGAAGAGACUCAAAUCUAUCAGAACUGCUUGACUUUUGAUCCUGAGCUUAUGCGCAUCCAGUGGGCAAGUGAGGGUGCAUGGGUUUGUGAAGACUCCAGCAGUAUGAUUGGGGACACAGGGUCUCCCUAUGUUGCCCAGGCUGGUAUCGAACUCUGUUGCCCAGGCUGGUAUUGAACUCCUGCGCUCAAGUGAUCCUCCUGCCUCAGCCUCCCAAAAUGCUGGGAUUACAGGUACAGGGUGAACUCCGAGACCAUCUCUCCUAUUCAUUUACAUCCUCAGAACUUAGCACGAUGUCUGACCAUAGUGGAUUUUCAAUAAGUAACUAUGGGUUGACAUGCAGGCUGGACAUACAGUGGGCCUCGAUUGCUUAGAAGCCAAACUGAACUCACCAAGAAAAGAAGACAGGAGAAACUUCUCAAGAGGAAUAUCUCCAAAUUGCAGGAUCGAAUACCAUAAGAGGAAUUCUGGACUGAAGAGUUAUGAAGUCAUUUCAGACACUUCCAGACAAUUUGUGUUAAUUAAAUUCUCACUGGUUGAGUUCCAUUCUACACUGGAAGAGCAUUUUUCCUGGAAAGGCUCCUCAAAAUGUACCUUUGGCAAACACAGAGAGGUAUGCUCAUAGAAGAGGUGAGUUUGGAACUGCAAAUCCUCCCAGCCUCAGGACCUCUCUUUUGGUUGCCUGCUCUGCUACAAAGCUGGAGAUCUAAAGUGGAGGCGUGUAGAAGACACCGUCUGGCUGGACACCAUCAAGAGUCACCUCCUCAGUGAAGCCUUCCAUGGUUUCAUACCACCCAUCCCUAUCGGAAUGAAUGUAUCCUUGUUCUCCGUUAUCCCAGUAUUUUGCCUGGGCUUCUGUCACACUACUUUCAAUGUCUAUACCUCAGUUAUCGAAUCGAAAAACAAGAGUCAUCAGUCUCUAAGGUCCUUGCAAGCUUCAAAACUUUAUAUUUUUGUCAAUUACAACUGAAUAAAGCUGAACAACUUAUUAUUUAUGGAUACUUGCUCAAGCACCAUAUAACUCUUUCAGAUAUUUUAAAAGAAUAUGUUUGCAAAAGACUCCAAAUCAAUGUAUUAAAUUGAAAUCCAGUAUCAAAACACCCAUUAAAGUGCUCUUUUGAAAUUGUACAUUUUAUAUCAAUAAAAUUUCAAAAUAUAAAAA
rnacentral:lncRNA from 1 species